CGGAGCGUAGCGCAGUCCGGUAGCGCACUACUCUGGGGGGGUAGGGGUCGCUGGUUCGAAUCCAGUCGCUCCGACCA
rnacentral:tRNA from 1 species